GGAUUAUGCUACUGCUAGCAUGAAAUGCUCUAGGCUUUCUAGGGCUCUCAAUCCCUUCUACCAUGCCAAUAAUUCCCCUUAGCAUAACUUUUCAACUAGUUGAGGAUAACCCCUAGUCAUUACAGCAGGAGAUAUUGAUAUCGAAUAGCUAUCUAUCUACGUAAGUUCAUUAGAAAGAAAGGAGGAGAGGAAGUUCGGGAUUAUUAAAAGACCUGGACUGGCUUAGACUUAUUAUAGGGUUAAUACGACCUAUGAUGGGCAAGCAAGCGAGCUAACUAUGCAUCGGAAAGCAAGCCUUCGACGUCACUAUAGGCCAAGCCCUAUACCUCUACCACUGCCUUGAGCCCUUGAUCAAUUAGUGGGGCAUUCUAAACCUACGUCAACAAUCAAUGGGGCACCUCUCCAUCUUAUGCAUCUGCUGGUACUGCGCCUGAGCUAGUGUGACUGGAUCCCUCAAUCCCUCUUACAAAGCAGAAAUUCCUUCUUUUUCUUACUUUCAAACGAUUG
rnacentral:lncRNA from 1 species